AUGUUCAGACCCCACAGACCACAUCUGGGAGUUGCCUGGCAGUGCUCGCUGGCACAGACCAAAAGCACAUCUAGAAGCCCUGUUGCAGAGGAGCUGUAUAGCAUUCCAGUGCUUGGGACUGCUCCUGGACACUGAUUUACUAGUGGUGGACUCCAGCAAGCUUCUUAACUCCAGGAUCUGGAUAUACAUCCUCUUGCCUUGCAGCCUCAUUCUGAUGUGAGAGAAAGCCAACCUCAUGCCUUCAUUGCUCUGAGACUGAGACUGGGAUACACAAGGGACAAGGGUGACUAUCCAGAUAACUGUGGGACAAGCUCUGUGGCACAUAUUUCCCUGCUGAUUCACGCUCAUCUUAAUACAAUAAGUCAUUUCCUCAUUUUAUGAGUGUACUAGAACGUGGUCCUAACUAUUAUUUAUGUUACUAGGACUCGAUCUGUAUCUAUUUUACUUCUGUCCCAUUUCUGUGGAUAUGUUUGCCCUUGAAUUCUUUCCAGAGCACUAGCUAAGCAUGAAUUGUUCUGUAAUUAAACCAAACAACUUAAGCUCACAGGAAUUACUGAACGUGAGUGUGACCUCUGUAGAAGCUUGGAAAUACUUUAUCAGCAUGUCAGAAUAAUUUCACAGCUUAGAAUAAACUUGAGUCUUUCUAAAGUGCUGUAUAUUACUGGGAGCUUCACUAUCUUACUUGCAUUGAACUUUCUUAGAAAUAUCCUGUGUUGAUACAGAGAAGACUGUAUUGCUAACUGCACACAGGGUAAACAAGUGAGAGUUAUGUCUUAAGAACAACCAACAUGACUCCUGCUAAGGUUGGGUGCUACAGAGUUCAUCAGAAUUAUUCAAAUGAUGCUCUGGCUGGUCAUCAGAACCCAUGAUACCCUCACUCAAAUGUAUGUAAGAGCAGUAGCUGAUGGGUGUGGUGGACACAUGGAUUGUGACACUGCUGAGGAGGAGCUAGCUGAAGGUACAUCCCUGGGAGGAUGCACUUCAUACCAAAUAAGUUGAAAUGUACCACAUCUGAACUGACUCUUCAUCAGCUAAGAGGAGUUUGCAGUUGCUGCUGUACAGAGCACUUUUCCAUUUGGCAUCUUCUUCAGUUGUGACUGUGUGACAAAGAAUAUACAUUUUGCCAACCUUGUAAUCCAAGAUGCCUACUUUCUAACCAAACAGGGAAUGGCUGGGUAAUUUAUUCAUUUUCUGAGAGAUGGGAAAAGCAGAAUACUAGGAAAAUAAUACUAGGAAAGGAAUAUUAGGAACAGACAGCACAGAGUUUUGAAUUACUAGUGAACAUUGAUACUUUUCUUUCCAAGAGAUCUAUAUCAUAUUGUUUUAUUAGAGAACAUAAAUAAAAGCAAAGUGCCACUUCCCUUACGCAAGCUAUGCUCUUAGAUGUCAUUUCAUGGCAUAUCUGGUGGGCUUAUGUCUCUUAAGUAAAGAUUUUGAGGAGUAUGAUUUGAAUAAAAUCAACCAUUUUCUAAAGGCAUUGGAGUUCUACUGGAAUUCCUUUGAAAUGUUUUGAAUAAUUAGUGAUUGAAGACCCUCUCAAAGUGUCCAUUGAAUGAUCUCAUAAUUCCCUACAAAGUUUAUCAAACAGUUCACUUUUUCACAAGGAGUUGCCAUCCCAGACUUUACUUAGCAAAACCGUUCUCUGCAAACACCUGCCAACAUUACAAUUAGAAAAAUGUGGGGACACUACUUUCACACUUAUUUAUUUUAUUUAUUCGUUAAUUUAUAACAUCUUUUGUUAUUGUUUUCAAAUCUAAGCAGAGUUACGAAUAACACUGCUGUGGAGAUUUAAACAAGUGACUGACAAAACGCAAAACUUCCUGAAUGCCUGAACCAACUGUAAUGGAAAAGUGAGCUAUAAAAAACCUCCCUAGUACUUUUGCUAAUAAUAAUUUUUUGAGGUAAUGUCUUCGUUGUGUAUAGGAGCCAUAGACUAACAACACACUGGGGGGAAUGCUGUUUGGUGAGAUCAAAAAGGGGUUACGCUCCCACAGAUUUAUAGUUUCUUUAAAUUAUGAUGGCAGAGGCUGGAUACCAGCAGAAGAUAUGUUACAGGUACUUUCAGCACUCUUAGUGGUGUCAGUGCUCCAGUAGGUCAGCUUUUGUCAAGAUUUUUCCGGGCAUCUUGUCAAGAGAGAGAUUUUAAUGGGGAUUCAGAGGAAACCAAAGGAAAAAGCUUUGGUUUUGAGAUCAUAUCUGAAAGUUCAAUUAUGUGGAAUAAUGUGAAGGCAGAUAGGUGGAAAUGAAUGUAGGUGAAAUAGUAGGGGAGAUAGAAACUAGUUAAUAAGGACCUUUAAGGCAAAAAAGCUUUUCUCUGAUAUGAAAGAGUAAAGAAACGCAGGAUCGAGGUGACAGUAGUCAAAGUGUUGGAUUAGGAAAAUGAUCAUUGUAGUAACUUUCUGAAUUGCUAGAAGGUGAGCUCUAUUAAUAAAAGUCCAGGAAAUAAAUGGACAAAUAAAGAGGCAUAGCUGAGCAGCACAUCCAUCUGAUAGAGGAGCUUUUCACAUUUUCCUUCAGAAGUGAGAGAGGCUUCAUACCAAGGAACCACUGUGUAUCCUGUGCAACUGGAGAAAUGGAAGGCUAUUCAGUUGAGAGAAGCACUUCUCUAAUGGACUAAUUAUAAAAUGAGCCUGCUUCUUCUGUUGAAUCUGGGAAAUGCUAGGAAAAUAUUCAUUUGUAUUAUGUCUUCCCUUACUAGAGGGGAUGAGAGUUCAGGAAAGCAGGUGGUGACAGAGGUGUGGCAGACGCCUCUCCCCAGAGUGUCUGAAGUGGACAGAGACUACCUCAGCUUGUGGGAUUCCCCAGCAGUGAAUCCCUCUGCCUGCAUACGUUCACUUUAUACACUUCAAGAUGAAUUAAACAAACCACACAAGUUGGCUCUGAGAUGCUAUAAUUUUGAACAAUCUGUACAGAAGAAAAAUGUUUAGAAGACACAAACCUCACAAUCAUCCUUGACUUUUGAUUUUCCUUUCCCCAGGCUGAAUCCGUUAAGUAUUUUGAACCAUAACCCAAGGAAAGUCUUAACUCCGUGGUACUGACUGCUACCAAUUCAUACAAUCCAAUUCCAUGGAUGAAAUUUUCAAAAGUACUCUCAAGUGGCCUGGGGGAGAAUCCCAUUUUCCUUGUCUAAUUCAGCAGUGUGGAAUUUUCCUUUCCACACUUCUGUUAAUGGCAGACUAGUAACAGAUAAAUGAUGCCACUACAAUUUGAAAAGCAUAUAUUUAAAUAUAAUGCAGCCUUCUUACAAAUCAUGAAAUGGACAGCCUGGAGCCAUCUGACACUCCACCCCUAAAAGAACAUUUGUUAGGACAAUGUUGUUCUUUCUCUAAAAGUACUGCUGUCUAACUACAGCCAUCACAGACAGCCCCUUCUCAACCUGACCAUUACUCAUCUUUCAAAGCACAUAUGAAAAAAUAAAUGCUGUUGCCAGUGCAAGCCAAAAUAUUAACAAUUACAUCCUAAAAUAUCUCCCUGUGCCCAUUUGUAUGAGUAUGGGCAAUAGUUAAAACUACUAGUAGUUCUCUACAGCCUCUCUGGGCAGCCUGUUCCAGCACCUCACCACUCUCUUGGUAAAAACUUCCCCAGCAUCUAAUCUAAUUCUUCUCUAAUAUGAAUGGAAGCAAUGACAAGAUAUCCCAAGAAGAUUAUAUUCUGUGGACAUAAAGUAGAUUAAAUUUUACUUCACUGAGUAAGAUUAUUAUAUAUUAUUAUUAUAUAUAUUAUAGUUGGACAUAUGUGACAUGUAAUUCUUUUUGCAGGGCCUUUCGAAAGAAAGGAUAUGCUUUCACUGUGCAGUAAAAUCUGCUUUCAAAACUCAUUCAGCUGUGUUAACCCACAGGGUAAGGAAAAUGUACCUCCUUCUUGGGGUGCUGUUGCAGACUGCAGUAAAUCUUCAGGGAAGAUCUUAAACUUGAUUUUGGAAAGUAGUUAACAAACUUGUGCUAAGUGUCCAACAGAAUAGGCAGCCAUUUUUAUUUACCAUGCAGUAUAUUUUCCCUCCAUGGUAUGUUGUAAUAAAAAUUUUUUGCUAUAUGUCAAAGUGAAUCUAAUCUUUCAGACCAUUUUUAAUUUUUCCAAAGAAAGGCUUUUUCUUUCUAGGAAAUAACUUUCUCCUCCUGACAGUGUAAUUUCCAUUUCUCAAUAAAGGAAAUUGCAGUAUUAUAAAGAAAAACAGCAGUAAUCAAAUAUAUGAAGACACAAGUGCACUAGUAUAUUCUCAAUACUAGAAGCAUUGAGAAAGAAAUAGAGCAGUAGUCAAAGAAGUCUGCACUUCAUUCAGUGAAUGAGAAACCUCUAUUUAGCCUGUGGCUUUUUGACAGUAUUUGAUUGUGGGCCCGUUUCUCACUGAGAAGUUGACACAAACACAUUUUCAUAUCUAGACGGUUUUCUUGACGUUUCUGUACUGCCAUCCUUACUCUCUUGAUGAAAAUGGUCAGAUUUUCCUUUUGUGUCUAGGAUUAGUAAGACACACUGUUAUACUCUGUCUGCAGGUAACUUUCCCUUAAAAACAAAGAUUAGGAAUAAUAGAGGAUCUUCCAGGAAUGUCAGAGACGUUUAAAGAUUUCCUUGGAAGAGAGACACAAGGUUUAUGGUUUGAUCAGCUCCUCCUUUUCUCACAUUUACCUUUGUAUACGAAAUCUCUUUCUAAAACCCCACGAGCAGAUCCUAAACUACAUUUUUGCAACCAAGGGUUGUUGCUCUGUCUAUGGAAGGCAGUAACCUAGGCCAGCACUGUCACAGGCUUUUCAGGUUGUCAAAUCAGAGCUUUGCUUUGGCACAGGAAUACAGACAAAUAAGAGAAAGGUGCUGUCAAACAAGCAAAGGUAAUGAAACUCUACUCAAUUUUCAAAUGUUAGUAUAGACAAGUAAUAUUUUCCUCUCUUGGAUGGGAUUAUUCUGCAUUUCAGCACUUUUAGUUCCUUUUCUUCUUCGACCUUGACUGAAUAGCAACUCAACAAACACAAACCUUUGUGAAAAGAGUAUUUCAUUCUGGCUUUGAAUCAGACUUCUGCAGGAGUUUGUUUUCAUGUCUGAAGUGGAUUUCCUAUUGUUUUUGACAAGGGUGGGAACUAGAACUGGAUACUAUUGUCUGUCAGGUUUAUAUUCUGCAGCUUAACUAUUUUACUCUUUCUAACAUUUAUUCAUUUUACAAUUCAGACUGUCAGGACAAGGUAAGGAAACAUGGGUUCUACAGUCUAGAGAGUUUAUAUCUCUGACAUUUCUCUGUUAAACCUUUUGCUGUAGGGAUCUGAUGGGCAGAUUAUGUAGCAGUAUUUUUAGGAUUUACAUGGCACUUUCUGUAGGAUAGUGUUUGCCUGUACCUAAGAAAGCCACUUCUGGAAAGACAUAAACCAGGCCCCUCUUUAUCUUCAGGGUCUCAGCUUUCAUUUAAAACAAACAAAUUGAAGGACAAAUUAAAAAACAUAGAAUAAUUUGCAGACUACAAUGGUUAGCACAGCAAUGUCUAACAUUUAAACAUCCAUUUUCCCAGGGAGUGCCUUAGUUAGCAUCAUUAGUGAUCAGCCAUUGAGAAGGAACAUUCAUGCCAUGUCAUGCUAUGGCAGUUGGCUAGGAGAAAAUAUUUAUACUCACUGACUUUUUUUGUUGUUGUUGUUACUAUGGUACUGUAUCAGUUCUUUACACAUUCCCUUGGUCAGGAUGAAGGAAACUCUGUGGAUCCUUGUUUUACCUAUGUGUCAAUCAUGCAUCACAUUCUUAGGAUCAUAGGGUAUUAGAAGCUUAGAAGAGUCUUCUGGUGUGUGAGGAAACAAAUUUAGAUACACAGGAAACUACUGUCAUCCAAAGAUGCACAUACAGAACUUUGUCUGUGUCAGGGUUGUAUGGUAACUAAUUUGAGCUUUCCAGGACCACAAUUCUAGUUUUUGAUACCCAAAAUCAGUCUAAGAGCAGUCUCUCAGUUUGAGGAUAGUAGGGUCCAUCAGCAGCAGAACUUUAGAAACCUCACUGUAAUUUUUCCCUAUCCCUCUGUCAUGCUAAUGACAUCAUACUGAUGACAUGCAAUGGCAUCAGAAGUAACUUUAAGUAGUAAAUUUUUAAAAUAACUUAAAGUAACUUUAAGAAGUAAAUUUUGGACAAAUGUACAACAUGCAAAAAAGUUAUAACAAGUUUCCAUAAAAAUAUUAUUAUUUUUUUAAACUUAAAUGCAAGUGUGCCAGGCAUUCUUGUGUAGCCGUGUGCCUGCAUGAUAUCUAUCCCUUGGUAGAUAGAUUACAGUGAUAAGAAUGUAGGAACAAGGGCUGAUCACAAAAAUACACAAAAUGGUUUCAGAAGUAAAAGCAAUUUUUUUUCUGUUUUCCAGUGCCUAACAAGCAAAUAUUGUUAUCUUCUUGUUAUCCUAAAAAUGUACAGCCUACACUGCUCUUACUUUGAA